GUGAUUCCUGACGCACGUAGGCCGGUGGGGCGGGGCGGGAAGCGCUGGUGAUCCCGGCAGAUGGGCGCCCUCUCCCGUCUCUCAGAGACCACUCAGUCCAGUCAAGUCUGCAAAUCGGUUAACUUGGGGGCUCUGGCGGUCGAAGUGGCGUUAACUCGCGUUGGUGCGAGAGGUCGCGACGCUUUUCAUUAUACGCUUCUGUGUUUCUGGGCUGAGGGCUCAGAGCCAGAGUGCUGGCUUGUGUCCUUCCUAGCCGUCCCGCCUGCCCCGAGUGUUGCGGAGAGUUUCUGAGAGAGAGCCCCUGAGGAGGGGAGCGGGCGCUUUCGCGGGCUCACACGGAGGGGCUGGGUAGGGAGAGGAGCCGCGCGGGCCGGGGCGGCGGAGAGGCCGGACCGAAGUCGUCAGUGGACACCGCCACCCCUCGGUCGGACCUCGAAGUGGACCUGCGCGCUCACCUGAAUUUCAUUGAAAUCUCUUGCUGGCCAAUGAUCAACUCUUUCCAAGCUGAGUGUUCUUUACUGUUAUACAGGACUAUCAUGAAGAUGCAUUGAAAGUUACACAGCACUGGAGGAGUGUGAUAUCCCUUUCAGUUGGUAAUCUUUCUGUCAUGAAAGUUGCUUGCCAGCUUUACUUUUGAAUGAACACAGUAAACACUAAGCUCUUGCUUCUCAGGAUUGAGAUAUGGAAAGAUCCUUCUGUCCUUUACCACACAGUUCCUUUGUCAAGAAUUCCAGGAUGUCCUCCAAGUUUGCAAGUGGCAGACAAUUUUCAAAUUAAGAAAAAUCUUAUGAGAAGAGAUUAAAUCUAGAGUAUUGUGAUUUACUCUAGAUUCACAUGGUUUAACUAUGAAACCAAGAGAGUGAUUGUGACACUGUUUGAUAAGGCCUCAGGAAAUUUAAUGUCAUGCUUCACCAAGAGGUAGGAAGCAGAAGAGGUUCCAGGGAAGAAAACUGAGAACUGAUCAAAAGAAGUAUGAAGAGGAUGGAGUGCAGAAGAUGGGGAGAAGCAUGUUCAGUCGAGUGUGAUAAUGCCCAAAACGUCAGGAGUUGAGUCGGAGUAACUGAAGCUGACAAGUCUGUUGAUGACUGGUAAUCUGGGGGAGGAAAGCAGUAUCAAGAUACAAGUCUGAGAAAACUCAGGUCUCAAGAAAUUGUGCCAUCAAAGGGAGAAGAUAACUGUGGCAGCAAAGUCUUUUAUGAAGAUUGAUGGUGAAGGUAAGAAGGAGUUGGGAUUUGUCACUGGGCUCUUUGGAAAUAGGACUCAAUGGAGGGCUCUUUUCCCCCCAAGACAGAAGAAGCUUGGUGUUUUGAUACGUAGGGAGGAACUGAUGAGGAAAAGAGGAGGAAGACUGAAUAAAGAGAUAAUUCAUGAGUUAAGGUCUCAGAACUUAACUGGAAAAGCAUGAGAUCAACCUUGGAAUGGAAGGCAAGAAGGAAAGAGGAAUGAGUGGGAAAUAGAAGGUGUGAGGCGAAUGGGAAGAACACACAGGAAUUUCCAUCAGCUUUUGCUUAAUGAAAUAGAGGUAUGCAGAUUAUCCGCUAAGAGUACAUGUAUAUAGACCCCUGUAAGAACUGGUCUCCUACCUCCCACACUUCAUUUGCAUGUUCUUUGACUAUUUGCUGACUGAGGGUAAACAGCCAGGCUCCCUGGAAGUGCCUUUUCAAAGAGUUCUGAAGAAGAGAACUCUUUAGUUCUUGUUCAAACUGAGGGGACUUGAGUGCCCUGGAGUUCCACAGAAUUCAUAUGCAGAUCUCAAUAGAUCUCAAACUCAGCUCUGUUUGUGAUCCUGGGUUGUGUAACUAACAUGGAUAAUUCAAAUAUCACAACUUUCCAUUUCUUUUGUACCUCAAUAACACUGAUUCAUUAUCAAAUAAAUAAAAUUUAUUUACUCCGAAUGUUUCGUCUUUGUUGGUGCUCUUAACUGAUGAGAGAGUCCAUCAGUAUGUUGUUUUGGAUUAACUUAUGAAAAUGAAGAGUUUAUGGAUUAUAUGCUGAUGGAAAAUUGUCUGCUGAGGUAGCUUCAUAUUUGUUCUUUAUUCUACUGAUUUCAUAUAUUUGAAUUUUGCAAAAUGUGAGUUUUUUGAAUGAGCACACCCACACAUAUUUAUAUAUAUAUAAGGAAGUACAUAAUGUGCAUGUCUGAAGCCAAAAUAUUUAAAGUUAUUUCAAAUUAAUAAAAG
ensembl:lncRNA